GGUCACUCAGUCAUUUGGAGGUAAAACCAAAAAUGGCACAGUCCAUCAUGCUCUUGAGAACUGGAGAGGCUGAGUACCAUCAUGAGCUUGCUUUGGAAACUGCCUGCUGUCUCUACUGGUAAUUGACAGACUGUGUCAAAAUUAACCCUCUUGUGCUUCCUCAUCUUUCAACAGAAAGAUAUGUUUUGGUCUUGGCUCCUAUUGACUGUUGAGUCUGGAUUCAGUGCUGAAGCUCAACACAGUCAGAUUGAGUCAAGAAAGCUCUGGAACAAAGCUUGGAGAUGCUGGACAGGAGAGCACAGAGACCUCAGGGCAUUGCACCAGAAUGGUGGGAUGGAUUUCCACUAGGAGGAUAAACAGAAGACUAAUGGGAAGAGGUCAGAGUUUCUAUUUCGGGAACUAUGCUUAAUGGUAGCUAGGACGGAAGACAGAUAAAUAAUCUGUGCACUUCACUACCUCACAUCAAUCCUAUAUUUUACCUCAUGCUUUAUUUAUCUGGUAUCUGCUCAUUGCUAGGGAACAAUUGUGUUAAAAUAAGAGUGAGGAGAACAUGGAAUGCCAAGAUAAUGCACCUGGUCCCUGAAGACAUGCCUUUUCUAGAAAAGUAGGCUCUUUAAAGCCAGAUGGUAAGAAAUUUUUUUUUUUACAUUGGAGUUUAGAGCUGAGGGAGUUGCCUCAGGGGGGUUGUUCAGGCUUUAGUUGAUAUGAAGAGUGUUCUUCAGACCUUCUUUCUUAUAAAAAAAACUUCUUCCUGAUGCAUGGAAAAAACUAACACAGUGUUGCUUCAUGACCUUUCUUGUCGCUUAGAUUUAAGAAAUUGGCUUGAAAAAUAAAUGUUACAUUUACAGUAGGACUCUUAAAGUU
rnacentral:lncRNA from 1 species